rnacentral:rRNA from 1 species
UACGGAGGGUGCAAGCGUUAAUCGGAAUUACUGGGCGUAAAGCGUGCGUAGGCGGUUCGUUAAGUCUGUUGUGAAAGCCCCGGGCUCAACCUGGGAAUGGCAAUGGAUACUGGCGAGCUAGAGUGUGUCAGAGGAUGGUGGAAUUCCCGGUGUAGCGGUGAAAUGCGUAGAGAUCGGGAGGAACAUCAGUGGCGAAGGCGGCUCUCUGGGACGGUACUGACGCUGAGACGCGAAAGCGUGGGGAGCGAACAGG